UCAAACCUGGAGGACAAUUUGCAGUGACGAAUCCUGGGCCUUAACAGCUGCUGAUGUUGUUUGUCAGGAACUGGGUUGUGGCUCUGUAGCUGUGGCGCCACCUGAUGCUCACUUUGGAGAAGGAACGGGGCCAGUUAUCGGCCCGCCCGGUUGCGAACAUCAACGGGAUCUUGGUGUGAUCUGUUCAGGAACCAUCGCACCUCGCCUGGUGAAUGGAAACAGUGCUUGUGACGGUAGGCUGGAGAUUUAUGCGAAUGGUACUUGGAGGACUGUCUGCGGGGUUGGAUCGUGGAACUUAUCGAGUCUGGACUUCACUUGUAAAGCACUGAACUGCGGCUCUGCAAUAGAAGCUCCGCUUAAUGCUCAUUUUGGAGAAGGAUCAGGACCCAUUAUUGGACCGCCUGGUUGUAGCCACCAAGAAGACAUUGGAGUGAUUUGUUCAGAAAGCAGAGAUCUCAGACUGGUGUCUGUGGACUCCCGAUGUUCCGGUCGUCUCGAAAUUCGCCAGCGGCAACAAUGGGGGACAGUCUGUGACAGAUCCCUCGAUUGGGAAGACGCUGCGGUGGUUUGCUC